CACUUACGUUGUGAUCGAAAGCGAUUUUUUUAACGUGGUGGAGAAAAUCAGCUACGAGACCAAGUUUGUAGCAGCAGCAGAUGGAGGAACAAGUAUUAAGGUAACUACCACCUUUUACACCAUUGGUGACAUUCAGAUCUCUCCAGACCUAAUGCUCCAAAUCAAGGAAGCAUCCGAGAAGCGAGCCCUUGUUUUGAAAGCUAUUGAAAAUUAUGUGUUGGCAAAUCCCGAUUUCUGAAACUAGACUUUCAUGGCGUUCAACAUUUAAUGGUGUGGUUUGGAUGAUGUUUCAUGUUUUGUCUUAACCAAAAACCGUGUUUGAUUGCGUAAUAAGUGAUUUGUCUCUCUAGAUUUCAUCAUUUCUAUUUCCACUGUAAUAAGGGUCUUUUAAGUCGUUUCAAAAUAUAUACUUGAAAGCAAUGUUUUAUGGUUCAGGACAGUAACACUGUUAUUAUUUUCAAUAGAAAUAGGCAAUGAUUGGUUGAAUUAACAAUUAAGUUAAUUAUGUUUUCUUGACACUACCCUGCAAAGUCAAAUGGAAAUACCAAAACAAGAAAAAAAAUUACAAUUUGCCACGUUCCAAGCACAUUAAUUCAGGGUAUUAUAUUGAUCAUUAUCCAAGGUGCCUAUAUCCAGAUCAUUCUCAAUGCUCGUUCAUGAACCAGAUUAGGCCGUUACUUGUAAACAUCGUUGCCACAACUAAUUAUCUUCUGAAGCAUCAGUUUUUCCAAAUAUACUCUCAGAAAUCCUUUACCAUCUCUUAUUUUUAAAAGGCUACUUUGAGUUCCUUUUUUCUUUUGUGCGGCUGUCCUCUUCAACAUUCUUUGGUAUCAGCGCUAGGUUUGAUUGUUAUUAGGUGUAUUUCUCAUGGCGACAAACAACAAUACCGUGAGUGUUUCUCAACCGGCAAUUCCCGUUUUCAAUGGCGACAACUAUUAGUUUUGGAGCAUCAAAAUGAAGACACUGUUUAAAUCUCAAGAAUUGUGGGACUUAGUUGAGAAUGGGUAUCUUGAUGACGAUGGGGAAGCUAAGUUGAGAGAAAACCAGAAAAGAGACAAUAAAGUAUUAUUCUUCAUUCAGCAAGCUGUUCACGAGUCGAUUUUUUCAAAAAUUACAGGAGCAGAAACUGCAAAAGAAGCUUAGACAACAUUGCACAUGGCGUAUCAAGGCACUUCAAAAGUUGUUAUAGUGAAGCUUCAGACUCUUCGUCGUGACUUUGAGACAUUGCAAAUGAAAAGUGGAGAAUCAGUGCAAGAUUGUCUUACAAGGGCAGUAGCGGUUGUCAAUCAAAUGAAGUCCUAUGGAAAGCAAGUUACGGAUCAAACUACUAUCGAAAAAGUGUUGUGGAGUUUGACUCCAAAGCUUGAUCAUGUCGUUGCAGCUAUGGAAGAGUCUAAAGACUUAGCUACUUACUCAUUUGAUGAAUUACAGGGAUCUUUGCAGUCCCACGAAGCAAGAUUGAACCGCACAAAUGAAAAGUCAGACGAAAAGGUAUUCCAAGUGAUAGGGGAGCCUUCCAAGCAGCAAGACGAUUCAAGAAAGGCCACAUACAGAAGAGGUUAUCGUGGCAGAGGUGGUUAUCGUGGUAGAGGAGGUCGUGGCAGAGGUAGAAGUGCUGGACAUGAUGAACAAAGGCAGAUGACAGAAAAAUAGAAGCAAUAUAGGAGCAAUGUUCAAUGCUAUUAUUGCAAGAAAUAUGGGCAUGUGAUGGCAGAUUGCUGGAAAAGGGAAAGACAAGCCAACUAUGCAGAAGGUGACGAAGAGAUUAAGCUAUUCAUGGCUUCUCAAGAUGAUGUUAUAGCUUCGAAAGACAUAUGGUUUUUAGACAGCGACUGUUCAAAUCAUAUAACGGGGAUAAAAUCUUUGUUCAAAGAGCUGGAUGAGUCAUACAAGGUGAAUGUGAGACUUGGUGAUGACAAGCAGAUGCAAGUUGAGGGCAAAGGCACUGUGGCGAUAAGCAAUAAUCAUGGUAACAUAAAGCUCCUUUAUAAUGUCUAUUUUGUUCCUACUUUAUCCCAAAAUUUAUUGAGCAUUGGGCAGCUUAUGGGUAGUGGAUAUUCUGUCAUGUUUGAUGACAUGUCUUGUGUGAUUAAAGACAAAAAAAUAGGAAAAAUUAUUGUUGAUGUUCAGAUGGCACCAAACAAGCUCUUUCCUCUUGAAGUCUCUAAUGUAGAAAAUCAGGCACUUGUUGUUAAAGAGAAUAAUGAGUCUAAGUUGUGGCAUUUACGGUAUGGGCACUUGAAUGUAAAUGGUCUAAAAUUGUUGAGUCAGAAGGAAAUGGUGUUCGGGCUGCCAAAAAUUGAGUCUUUAGAUUUGUGCGAAGGGUGUAUAUUUGGGAAACAAUGUAAAAAACCAUUUCCUGUAGGAAACUCUAGAAGGGCGUCUGAGUGUCUUGGGCUUGUACAUGCUGACAUUUGUAGACCUAUGAAAACAGAAUCCUUGGGUGGAAGUCGCUAUUUUUUGUUAUUUACAGAUGAUUGCAGCCGCAUGAGUUGGGUGUAUUUUCUUUACUCCAAAUCAGAAGCAUAUGAGAUUUUUAAGAAGUUCAUGGCGCUCGUUGAAAAGUAAAGUGGAAGAAGUAUCAAGGCUUUGCGCACUGAUCGAGGAGGAGAAUUUUUGUCAAAUGACUCUAACCAGUUUUGUGAAGAGUAGGGCAUACAUAGAGAGUUGACAGCACCUUAUACACCGCAACAAAACGGUGUGGCUAAACGUAAGAACCGAAAGGUUGUUGAAAUGGCAAGAAGUUUGCUAAGAUCUAAGGGGCUACCAGAUAAGUUUUGGGCUGAAAGUGUUGCUGUUGCUGUUUAUUUACUGAAUUUGUCUCCAACAAGGGCGGUUCUCAACCGAACACCUUAUGAAGCAUGGAGUGCUAGGAGACCUUCGGUAAGCCACUUGAAAAUAUUUGGUUGUAUUGCCUAUUCUUUGAUAGAUUCACACAAUUGAAGCAAGCUUGAUGAAAAGCCUAUGAAAUGCAUCUUUGUUGGUUUUUGCUCUCAAUCCAAAGCAUAUAGGCUUUACAAUCCUUUGAGUGGCAAGGUGAUUAUUAGCAGGAAUGUUGUUUUUGACGAAAAUGCAAGCUGGGAUUGGAAUGAAGAGCAGGUACAUCAACAAAUCUCUAUGCCUAUUGAGGUUUCAUAAGAUGAAAGACAAGAGUUAAAUUCAGCAAGUUCACCUCUUAACUCACCAAGAGCUACAAUUCCUGAAGAGCCUUUAGCUGAGCAACUCCCGCUUAGAAGAUCGGCAAGGGCCAGAAAGCCGAAUCCAAAAUAUGCUAAUGACACUUAUGAAUCUUGUCAGUUUGCUCUUGCUGUUUCAGAUCCUAUAUACUAUGAAGAGGCUACUGAAAGGGAAGAGUGGCAGAAGGCAAUGGAGGAAGAGAUGAAAGCUAUUGAGAAGAAUGGAACAUGGGAAAUGGUAGACUUACCGAAAGACAAAAGUGCAAUUGGCUUGAAGUGGGUGUUCAAAACAAAGUUUGCUGCUGAUGGAAGCUUACAGAAACACAAAGCUCGUCUUGUAGCAAAAGGUUAUGCACAACAAUAUGGUGUUGAUUUCGAAUAAACUUUCUCUCCGGUAGCUCGGUUUGAAAUAGUGAGGCUUGUUCUAGCAUUGGCUGCACAAUUGCAAUGGCCUGUCUAUCAAUUUGAUGUCAAGUCAGCAUUCCUUAAUGGAGAUCUACAAGAAGAGGUUUAUGUAGCACAGCCGAAAGGUUUCAUAAAGAAAGGCAAUGAAACAAAGGUGUACAAGCUAAAAAAAACAUUAUACGGACUGAAGCAAGCCCCUCGAGCAUGGUACAGCAAGAUUGAUGGGUAUUUUCAGGAAAAAGGAUACGUGAGAAGUGAGAACGAGCCUACCUUAUAUGUGAAAAAGGAAGGUAAUGAUUUCAUCAUUGUCUGUCUUUAUGUUGAUGAUAUCAUUUAUACUAGUUCUUCUACUUUUCUUGUGGAUGAGUUUAAAUCUCAAAUGAUGAAUGAAUUUGAGAUGUCGGAUAUGGGUCUACUGCAUUAUUUCCUUGGUCUUGAAGUUUAUCAGGCUGAAGAUGGUAUUUUUAUCUCACAAAAAAAAUAUGACAAUGAUCUUCUCAGUAAGUUUGGCAUGCUUAAUUGCAAACCUGCAAUUACACCCAUGAACAUCAAUGAGAAAUUGCAGCAAGAAGAUGGAGGAGAAGUGGCAGAUGCAAAAAGGUUCAGAAGCUUGGUAGGUGGUUUAAUUUACUUGACGCACACCAGGCCCGAUAUUGCAUUUCCUAUUGGUGUUAUUUCCAGGUUUAUGCAACAACCUUCAACAGUUCAUUAUGGAGCGGCAAAAAGAGUCUUGCGUUAUAUUGCAGGAACUUUGGGGUAUGGUGUUUGGUACUCCAAAAAUUCAAAUUUCAGACUGUGUGGGUUCACAGACAGUGAUUGGGCAAGUUCAUUGGAUGAUAGACGAAGUGUUUCAGCAAAUGUUUUCACUCUAGGUUCGGGAGUGAUCACUUGGAGUUCGAAAAAGCAAGCUACAGCAGCACUGUCAACUUCAGAAGCUGAGUAUAUAGCAGCAACCUCAGCAGCUUGUCAAGCCAUUUGGCUAAGAAGGGUGUUAGCAGAUCUUCAACAUGAGCAAAAGGAAGCAACGGAAAUAUUUUGUGAUAACCAAGCAACUAUUACCAUGACAAAAAAUCCAACAUUCCAUGGCAGAACGAAACAUAUAGACAUUCGCUAUCAUUUUAUACGCAAUCUGGUUGCAAAGAAUGAGAUAACAUUGGAAUAUUGCAGCACUCAAGAUCAGCUGGCAGAUGUGCUGACCAAGUCAUUGUCGAAAGAGAAGUUUUGUUAUCUUAGAGCCUUACUUGGUGUGUGCAAGUUUGAAUCAAGGGGGAGUGUUGGAGAAUGAUUCAAAGUUUAUUUUUUGUUUUUUCUAAAUUUAGAUUUGGUUGAGUUGUGUUAGUUUGUUUCCUUUAUUUUUUCUGUUUUUGUUAUGAUUUUCUGUUGAGAUAUGAUUUCUUGUUGAGAUAUGAUUUUCUAUUAAGAUUUGUUGCCCUGUAAAGCCUAUAUAAGAGGCUGAUCUUUAGUUGAAUAAUGAAGCAUCAGUUUUUCCAAAUAUACACUCUCAGAAAUCCUUUACCAUCUCUUAUUUUUAAAAGGCUACUUUGAGUUCCUUUUUUCUUUUGUGCGGCUGUCCUCUUCAACAUCUUCAACGAUAAAUUCAUCAACCAAUUAUCUUUCAACGAUAAAUUCAUCCCUUGCGUUAAUAAAUCAAACUUCUAGAACUGGAAUUGGGUGUGGUGCGCCGGGCCCAAGCAAUAGUGCAAAACCUGGGCGACGCUCGAGAACCCCAGUAGCAAGCUACUGUGAUGGAUACUACCACUCGAAAAAUAAAUUUAAUAUCGUGUGAUCUAAUGGAUCACGUAUCAGAUAUUAAACUGAUAAGAACAGAUACUACACUUGAUCUUAGCCAAAAGGCCGAGAAAGGUAUGCCUCUUUCUGUCGAGGGUCGGGCUAUUUAAAACCUGCUUCUCGCCUGUUCUUUCGUACUCUUCCUGAUGUGGGAUAUUUUACAAAUCAGCUAGAAAAGAGCUGCCUACCGGUGCUCCUAUAAAGACUGAACCCUUCCUGAAUAGACUGAUUCUGGGCCAUUUAGGAUUUGAUUCAACAAUCAGGCACCAUUUAAGAUUUGGAACACUGCUGUUAAAUUUUACGACUAAAGUUAAAAGAUUAACAAGUAUCUUACAAUGGUAUGGUAAAAUAUUACAAAAAAAAACAUGUAAUAAUUUUUUAAGAUUAUUUGUGAAAUAAAAAAAAUACACUCAAUAUACCAAAUAUUAACCUUUUAUAUAAUAAAUUAAAAUUAAAUUUUAUAUUAAAUUACUUUAUUAUUGCGGUGUAUUUUCAUUAACUAAGAAAAAGGAAAUUGGCACUGCUGACAAAGGCUGAUGUUGUAAGUCUUAAGCACUCAAGUUCAAAUCUCAUGGUAACUCUUAAAUGGGAGAAAUAUAUUUAAGUACACUUGAACUCAUGUCCUCCUUAUUUUAACAAUUGGACUUACAUUUUUAAAUUUAAAAAAAUAUAAGAACUAAAUUUCUUGAAUAAAAGUGGAUGGACGAAAUUCUAAAUAUACGAAAAAUAUAAUUAUAUUAUACUUGUACAUACAUUGUAUUUGUAUUUGUAAAAAUUCUCUCUUUCAAAAGAAAAUAUUACUUUAAUUUUAAAUGUCAAGUUCUAAUUAUUUAAUUAUGUAGUAAAUAAUUUUAUGUCAUACAUGAAUAAUACAUUUAUGUAAUACAAUACAAUUAAGUAAUUAAUAUAUAACUAAAGAAAUAGUAUAUUCAAUUUAUUGAUCAAUUAUUAGGAAAGCAAAGAAAAUUGAAAAUUAAAGGAUGUGGAGUAGUAUGAAUUUACAAUAUAUCAAUUCUUUUUAGUAUUGUACAAAUGUUUACAAUGUAUCAAUUAACAUUAGCUUGGAAGAAGUGCCAAAAUCAACUUUUUCUCCGAGACUAUUUUACUUGAAUAUCUUCCUGACCCGAAUAGAAUUAGAUUUAAAUCGUAAUUUUUUAAAAUUUUUACCUCAAUUAUUUUUAAAAUAAAAUUUUAUAAAAAAUAUGAUUUUAAAAUAUUUUAGAAAUAAGAGAUCAAUUGAAAAAAAAUUUAUCACUAAAAGUCAAAAUAUAACAAGUUUAGUGAGACGGAUAGAGUAUUAUAAUAUUGGAGUUAUUAAAAAUAAGUUGUAUAUUUUAUUAUGCUUCCUAGUUAUUAUUUUUUUAAUAAUAUUAUUUUACAUUAAUUACAUAAAUAAAAAAAAUUAAAUGUAUAAAAUCAUGCACAACGCAUGUAGUAUUAGAAAUUAAUAUAGGUUCGUCAUAUACUGAUAGAUAAGCAACCCGUCAGUAUAUUCCUACUUAUGUUAACAGAAUUUGAUCAUUGGUAAAAACAAACAUCAAUAUAUGACAAAUUAUUUUGUAAUGGUGGCAUGUAAACAUGUUGUGGACUCCCCCACUCUUUUUUUUUUUAAUUUCUCGAUGUAAACAUGCCACUAUUUUUAAGGUUUUAUUCACCUCAGUAUAAAUAUUGGUGUGUAAAAAAGUUACCAACAAAUAAAUCUUGAGAAUACAAUGAAGCUUAAUGAUUGACUGUGUUUUCAACUGAUAUGAAAACAAUCCACUAAAUACUAUAUAGCAAGAAUAUUAAUUUCUAUAAUAAAAAACUUCUGUAAUAUUUUUUUAUAAAAUAAUCUAUGAAUAUUACAAAAGGGUAGUACAAAAUGAAACUUUCUUUACAAAUUCUUAGUGUGUCUUCCAAAUGAAAUUUGACUUUCAUUUAUAAGAAUUCUUAUGUCUUCAAACAUAACUAUCUAAAUAAAUGUCCAUAUCGAUAUUUGCAUAUCUUUGCAAUAGUCAUUACUAUUCUAAUAGGUAUCUAUUUAAAUGAUCAUAACUUAAAUAAUUAAGUAGAGGUGAACAAAAUUUGAUUUGACUCGAAAAAAUGAAUUCUUUUUCAAAUUUGAGUAACUCGAAUUUGGUUAUUUGGUUUUUCAAAUAAACUUGAAUAAGUGAUUCAGUUUCUCAAGAUUGAUACGAGUUGAAUUUUACAACUUAAAUAACUAGAAUAAUUCGAAUAACUCAAAUUAAAAAUUGGUGUAAAUACCUCCUAGGUCCCUAUCAAUUUCAAAAUUGAGCAAAUUGGUCCAUUGUAAACAAAUUUACAAAAAACUUCAAAAUAAUCUUCAAAUUUUUCCAUGUGUUGGUUGUUGACUACGAAGCAUGAAGCAAUGAAUGCAAGCUCCUCCUGAGCUUGAUUUUCUUCAGCAGCUUGAGCCUGAUUAGGCUAUUGCUGCUGCACUUUGUUUUUACAAAUUCUAAAAUCAUGGCUAAAUUGCUUACAAUUUUUACACUGCACCCCAAGUCUUGUCCAACAAAACUUUUUUGAAUAACCCAUCUUCCUGCAAUUCGAGCAUGGUGGAUAUUUUUUCUUUUCACAAUCUCUUUUUGGCCUAUCUUUUUCUUGAUUCCAUUUCUUCUUGCCUUUGUUGCUUGAAGAACAUGGAGUUCCCUUGUUUCUUGCUUGGUAAGCACCUUCUGCAUGCCCCUCUUCUCUACUUGCUUUUCUUUGCUCUUGUGCAUAUAGAGCAUUUAUGAGCUUUAACAGAGAGAUUGUUGUCAAGUUCCUCAAGUCCUCCAAGGAUGAGAUCUUGGACUCAUACUUCUCAGGCAACGUUGUGAUGACUUUUUCAACGACCCUUUGAUCACUGAACUGAUCUCCAAGCAGCCUUAUAUUGUUGACAAUGGUCAUGAUCCUCUCUACAUAUUGCUUGAUAGUUUCAAUUUCUUUCAUCUUCAGGUUCUCAAAGUCUCUUCGCAAAUUCAAAAAUUAUUGUCGUAUUGUCUUCUUCGUCCCUUGGAACUCCUCAUUCAAUUUAUCUCAGGCUUGUUUGUGUGUUUCACAAGCCAUAAUUCUUGUGAAAAUAACAUCAGACACACCAUUCUGAAGGCAAGACAAAGCCUUAUACUUUUUAGCAACCUCAUCACUGUGUUGUCUAAUUUGAGCUAUCGUUGGAUUAGCUCGCAACAAUGGUGGUUCUCUGUCUGAAUCAACAACUUCCGACAAAUCAUAUGUCUGAAGAUACAUCUUCAUCUUCAUUACCCAAAUAUGGUAGUUUUCUCUAGCAAAAAUAGAAGGUGGAGGUGGUGUAAAACUUCUAAACGACAUUGCAAUACAAACAAGAUACAAUCGACACUCUUUUCAAUAAGAAAAAAAUACACACAAGGCCCUUAAAGACUUUGGCUCUUGACACCAAUUGUUGGAGUUUAGAGAAGUUGAGAGAAUAAAACAAGGAAAAAUACUUAGCAAAAUUUUUACUACUAUAAAUUUUUUACUCAUCAUCAUUUCCUUUACACAUGAAAUACAAUAUAUAUGGGUGUAGUGGUUAUAAAGAAUUCAACAAACCCCACUAAAACAAUUUGUAAAUACAAAGAUGAAACUUAUACAUAAACUGAUUAGGUAAAAGUCAGUACCUAAAAAUGUCUCUGCUUACUUUAACAAGUAAUCUCAACAAGCAGACUAAUUACAAAAUAUCACCAACAAAAUAUGCCAACCCUUCUUGUAAUACAUUUGGGAUUCGGCAACAACUCAUAAUAGCUCGCAUUUGACUUAGCAAGCAACUUGAGUUGAGCUUGCACUUUUGGUUGAGCUUGCAGCUUUAGGUGAGCUCGCAAAUGUAGAGCUUACAGCUUCGCGGGAAGAGUUCGCCAUUGCAUGAAUGGCCACUUCGCAACAAGCUUGAUUCCCAAUCAAAUACGUGAACAUGCUGCUUCGGUUCAUAUGACACUCUGCCAGGCAAUAGGCAAGCCGUCCACAAAUUGUAAUUUCAAUGGUUUGUUAUAAAAUUUGGACAUCACAUAUAUAAUAAGGGUAAUUACAUGUUAUUAUUUACUAUCAUAAUAGGAUAGCCCAAAUUAAAAGUGAUCUAAUUUUGUUAAGGUUUAUUGGGCUUUAGUUAUUAAAUAAAGUAUGUGUCAAAUAUGUGUAGAUAUUCUAGUAACUAAUUUCUAAUUAAAGAUGGGUUGAUUAGAAAUUAGAGUUAAUAUGCAAAAGUGAUGUAUUAGGGUUAUGGUCCUCAAAUUACACAUAAGAUAACUUUUCUAAUAUUACAUCUUUAGAAAAUAAAGAGCACAUUCUCUAGAUUACAUAUGUGCUAAUUUGGAAGGUUAAAACAGCAAGAACCGUAGAUUUCAAGAAAUUGAUGAAUUCAGGUACGUUUUCGCAUCUAGUUUUGUUCUUGAUUUAUUUUUGAUGAUUUGACAUAAUAUAUCCUGAUUUAUGGUUUGUUAAGUUUUAUAUCAGAUAUUAUUUUACAGUUCUAGUAAGUGGCAUCCGAGCCUCGUCAUGUUAAAUCAUUAAGAACGAAUUGAUUCUUUAUUAUUAUUGGAUUGAUUCUUUUUUGAAAUUUUAUAGAUUUGAUAUCUUAAUUUUUGAUUAUAUAUAUUGAUGUUUGAGAUUUGAAGUUUUUUUAGGUUUUUGAUUAUUAUAUUGAAACUUUGGGGUUUAUGAAUAGUGAUUGAAAUAUUUGAAUGUUAUUGGUUUGGUAUGAAUUGCUUUAGUGCAAUCCACAUGAAUUAUUUUGGCUAAAUUGAAGUUUAUCUAUGGGAAUUAUUAAUCAAUAUAUAUACUUUGGAUGUAUUAAUUGAUUUGGUGAUUAGCCCUCAUACAAUACUCUGAUAUAGUUGAGUAGAAUAAUUUGGUGCAAGUAAAAUUAUGGCUUAAGUUAUGAGCUUUUAAUAUUUAUUAUGCUUUUACAUUUGGUUUUGGACUCAGAAGCAUAAUGCGAUUAGCAAUUCUGAUUCAAAUAUGAGUGAAGAAUAUACUUACAGGUUACUGCUUUUAUUUGCUUUAUAUAAAUUUUAAAACAAAAUUACAAAUUGCCACAUUCCAAGCACACGAAUUCAGGGUCCUAUAUUGAACAUUUUAAAAGGCAUUCAGAUUCAAAUAAUUUGCGGUGCUUGUUCGUUAGCUAAAAUAAGCCUUUACUUACUACAAAGAUAUAUUCUUUACAACGAUUGCAUGAACCCACUACACCAAAACAGGCUUUUAGCGGCGUUUUUAGCGGCGUUUGGAUAAAAAACGCCGCUAAUGAUCGAUCAUUAGCGGCGCAUUACGGAAAACGCCACUAAAAAAAAGCAUUAGCGGCGUUUUUGAGAAAGCGCCGCAAAAAACCUAAGCCCAAUGACGCCGUUUUCUGAGCUUUCAGAGAUUUAGCGGCGUUUUUGGUAAAGCGCCGCUAAUGCCCAGGGCUUUAGCGGCGUUUUUGGAAAAGCGCCGCAAAAAAACCUAAGCCUAACGACGUCGUUUUCUGAACUUUCAGGGAUUUAGUGGCGUUUUUGGUAAAGCGCCACUAAUGCCAGGGCUUUAGCGGCGUUUUUGGAAAAGCGCCGCAAAAAAACCUAAGCCCAACGACGCCGUUUUCUGAGCUUUCGGGGAUUUAGCGGCGUUUUUUAAAAGCGCCGCUAAAAAUAUUUUAUCUUAAUUGGUUUAUUCAUAUUAAAUAAUUUCAAUUUAUUUCUAAUUGAAUAUUUAAAAUCUUCAGAAAAAAAUUAUGACACGUAGAAAUAAUUUGAAAUAAAACACAUGGAAAAUUUAAAAUAUUAUUAUUUAAAAUAAUUGUAAAAGAGAUAAUAAUAAAAUUGUUUAGGGUUUUUGGUUUAGGGUAUAUGAUUUAUUUAAGAUUUAAGGCCGGUUUAAGAGUUCAUAUAUUAAGGUUUAGGGAGUAUGGGUUUAGGGAUUAUGGAUUAGGGGUCGUGAUUUAAGGUUUAGGGGUUAGAGGGUUAGGGGUUUAGGGAUUAAAAGUUAGGGAUUCUUGGGUCGAGUUAGAGUUUUGGGUUUAGAUUAAUUAUUUUUUAAUUUUUAUUUUAAAUAUGUUCUUAUAUAAUUGUAGAAGAGAUAAUAAUAAAUUUGUUUAGGGUUUUUAGUUUAGGGUAUAUGAUUAAUUUAAAAUUUCAAGCCGAAUUAGGAGUUCAUAUUUUAAGGUUUAGGGAGUAUGGAUUUAGGGGUUAUGAAUUAGGGAUUAUGGUUUAAGGGUUGGGAUUUAAGGUUUAGGGGUUAGGGGUUAGAUGUUAGGGGUUAAGAGUUAGGGAUUUAAGGUUUAGGGAUUCAGGGGUCGAGUUAAGGUUUUGAGUUUAGAUUAAUUAUUUUUUAAUUUAUAUUUUAAAUAUGUUCUUAUAUAAUUGUAAAAUAGAUAAUAAUAAAUCAAAUAUAUUGAAAUUAUGAGUAUGGUUUAAAUUAUUUAAGAGAUAUAUAAUAGAUAGAUUUUAUAUGUAUUGAAUGGUUAAUUUAGAGGGUUUAAGGUUAAGGUUUACUUGAGAUUUGUUAAAUGAUAAAAUUUUAUACAAUUAAUUAAUGCUUUUAUAUUUAAAAAAAUGUAAUCUAAACCAUUUGAUAUAUUUAAAUUAGUUUAAAUAGAAUUAAUAAAUAAGUUAAAAAAAGUAAUAGAUUGAUAUGGAUAUUUAUGUAUAAUUAUUUAUUUUGGAGAGGAACAAAUUAUAAGAAAAAAUACAAAAAUAAAAAUGAUAUGGAUAUAUAGGUAAUUAUUUAAUUUAGAUAAUUUUAACUUAAUAAUUAAUUACAACCAUUUUAUCAUUUGUUUUCUUAUUAAAAUAUACAAUAUUUAUUUUGAGAGUACUUUUUAUUUUAUUUUAUAAAAAAUCAAUUUAUAAAAAAAAAAUUAGCAUAGCAAAACGGUGUCAUUUUGUUCAAAAUGAAAGCAAAAAAUAAAUCAAUUUAUAUAAAAAAAAUUUAGAAUAGCAAAACGGCGUCGUUUCCUAUAAAAACGCCCCAAAAAAUAAAUCAACUUAUAAAAAAAAUAAAAAAUUGUUAGAAUAGCAAAACGGCGUCGUUUUGUUCAAAAUGAAAAAAAUUUGCGGCGCUUUAUAAGAAGCGCCGCUAAAGGUAAGCAAUAGCGGCGUUUUCUAUAAAAACGCCGCAAAAAAUAAAUCAACUUAUAAAAAAAUAAAAAAUUGUUAGAAUAGCAAAACGGCGUCGUUUUGUUCAAAAUGAAAAAAUUUAAGCAAUAGCGGCGUUUUCUAUAAAAACGCCGCAAAAAAUAAAUCAACUUAUAAAAAAAUAAAAAAUUGUUAGAAUAGCAAAACGGCGUCGUUUUGUUCAAAAUGAAAAAAUUUUGCGGCGCUUUAUAGGAAGCGCCGCUAAAGGUAAGCAAUAGCGACAUUUUUUAUAAAAACGCCGCAAAAAAUAAAUCAACUUAUAAAAAAAUAAAAAAUUGUUAGAAUAGCAAAACGGCGUCGUUUUGUUCAAAAUGAAAAAAAUUUUGCGGCGCUUUAUAGGAAGCGCCGCUAAAGGUAAGCAAUAGCGGCGUUUUCUAUAAAAACGCCGCAAAAAAUAAAUCAAUUUAUAAAAAAUUUCCCAAAUUUUUUAUGCGUUUUUAUCCCAAAAUUCCCCCUGAAACCCCUAAAUUUUCCCCCCUAAAAUUGGUAUCCUCAAAACACCUGAGUGUUUCUCUCUUCCACCACCGUCUUCAUCAUGAAUUAAUUACUAUUUAAUCGUAAAAGAGAUAGUAUUAAUUUUAAAAUAUUGAAUUAAUUACUAUUUAAUUUGUUUAUUUAUAUUAAUUAAAAUUCAAUUUAAUUUUAAAUGAAUAUUUGUUAUAAAUGGAUUAAUUUGAAAUAAUGACACGUAGAAAUAAUUUGAAAUAAAAAACAUAGAAAAAUAUUUGUUAAAAAUAGAAAAAUUAAAAUACUAUUAUUAAGCCAUAAUUUUAAAAUUUUUUAGGUUCAUGACUGAUUGAUUUUUAAUUUAUAUACUAAAUAAUUUCAAAUAUAAUUGUAAGAGAUAAGAUAGUAUUAAUUUUAAAAUAUUUAAUUUAAUUAUCAUUAUAGUUUAAGGUUUAAUAAAUAUGGUUUAGGGUAUAUAUAUAUAUGGUUAAUUUAGGAUUUAAGAUUGGUUUAGGAGUUACAAUUUUAAGUUUUAUAAAUUAUGGAAUUAGGGAUUAUGGAUUAGGGAUUCUAGUUUAAGGGUUAAUGUGAUUUUAAGGUUUAGGGUUAAGGGUAGGGGUUAAGGGUUAGGUUCGGGGUUAGAUGUUAAGAGUUAGGGAAUUAGGGUUUAGAAAUUCGGUGUCACGUUAGAGGUUUAGGAUUCGAUAAUUAGUGUAUUUUAUUAUUAUUAAAUAAGUUUAGGGAUUAGGAUCAGGUUUGGUUUAGGGUUAGUAGAUUACUUAUUAUUAUUUAAUUUAUAUAUUAAAUAAAGUUUAAGGGUUAGGGAUUCGUGGUCAGGUUUCGGUUUAGUGCUUUAGCUUAAUAGUACUUUUUCAUUAUAUAUUAAAUAACAGUUUAGGUGUUAGGGUAGGGAUUUGGUGGUCGGGUUAGGGUUUAGCUUUGGAUUAAUUAGGUACUUUUUAAUUUAUAUAUUAAAUAGUUCUUUAUAAUUGUAAAAGCGAUAAUAAUAAUUGUAAAGAUUCUUACUUAAAAUUGAUAUGCAAUAUAUAAUUUGAAUAUAAUAAUUUAAAAUUGUAAAAUUGUAAAAAAUUGUAAAAAUUAUAAAAAAAUAAAAAUAAAAUUAAAAAAAUUAAAAAGAAAUAAAAACACUAAAAUUUUUAUUUUUACCUAAUUUUUAUAAAUACUACUUAAAAAACUAAAAUUGAUAAUUUUAUCUAAUUUUUAUAAAUAUUACCUAAACAAAAUUUUUAUAAAAUUUGCAAUAGAAAAUUUAAUGUACUAGUGGCGUUUUUAACAAAAACGCCACAAAAUAUUCUUAAUAAUAAAGAAAAAACGGUAUAGUUUUUUGCUGCGAAUUUAAUGGGUUUUGUGGCGUUAAGGGAAAAACGCCACUAAAGUUGAUCAUUAGCGGCGCUAAGAAAAAAACGCCACAAAAUUCUGUUCUCAAUUUUUAUAUCUAUAUAUAAGAGAGUACUGAAAAAUUAGUAGCGGGAAAGUGAGUAUCGAAAAGAAAGAAUGGGAGGGAGAAAUUAAAAUGUUUUAAACUGUAAUCAUUUUCUGUUCUUUUUUUUUUCUCCAUCUCUCUCUUUCUCUUUUUUUUUUACUGUUGAUUUACAAAAUCUUCUUCCGUUGCUAAUUUCUUUGUCUAGGGUUUUUGUUCGUUAGUUUUUUUUAUUCUUUUUAGACUCAAAUUCUUUGAAAUUAUGAGGAGAAAUGUGAAGAAAGAAAAACAAACAGAUAAGGGUGAUGCAUCUGCUGAACCGGUUCGAACCAAGGUGGCGGGAGAGGCCCGAGAUGAGUCGGCGGAUGUUGAGUCGAAUCAACCGAAUCGAGAAGAGGAUGCGACAGAUAGGAGGGUUCUUCGCUCCAAAUACCUUGCCGUGAUGACCAAAAUAAGCGGUUAUUAUUAUUUUUCUUCUUCUUCUUUUCCUGAAAGGAUAUUAAUCUCAUUUCACUAGUUUUUUUUUGUUUUAAUUUUCUUUCCAGAUUUGAGCUAAAUUAUUGCUUUUUCUAACUUGAAUUUUUAGAACCUGCAAAGGAAUUUGCACUAUAUUAGUUCUUUUAUAGAUACUGUUUUGAGUUUUCUUUUUCGUCUUUAAUGGAUUGGGUGUUAAGGAUUGUUGGAGUCUUGCUGAAUUGUUUUGCUUUGUGCUGAAGAACCUCAAUAAAAUCAUUGUGCUUUGUUAAUCUUGACUUUUGUUAAUCUAAAAUUUUUAUUUUUAUUUAUGAAAUAAAACUGGUAUUUGUUCUUUGUGUAACUAGGUGAAUUAUAUUAUAGAACUCUUAACUAUUUUUAAGUCUAACAACUGAAUAAUGAAACAGAACUGUAUUUAAUUUGUUGUGGCUUACAGAGAGUUUGGUUUGAUUUGUUUUCUUCAUUUAACUACAAUAAAUUGAUUCAGUAUAAACUUCCGUUAAAAUCUUGCUGAAUUUAACUGAUUACACUAAUUUUUAAGUGAACGCAUGAUCAGGAAGAAGGUGUUUAAGUUGGCACUGAGUUAUUUGGUAAUAGCCAUAUCUCAUGGAGUUGGUGUGUUGUUGAGUUAUUCGCACACUAUCUUUUGGGAAUAUUCAAACUUCCCUUUCUUGUUUGGUUUCUAUUAAUUGCGGGUUAGAGAUGUUGUGGAAGUAAAUAAAACGUGUAUCCUGAUGUGCAGUGUUUAGUGUUGUGUGAAACAAUGCAAUUCAUAAAAUAUGAAUAAAGAGUUUCAUAUUCACCAUAAUUUUAUUGCGACUGCAUCUGUGAAACAAUGCAAUUCAUAAAGUUUUCUGAUUAUUUUCUUUAAUACAAAGAUACUUAACAAAUUUUAUGCUUACCUUGAUUGAAGCUUCUUGUACGGAUAUGAACAAGUCUUUAGCUGAUGGGAUGUUGGAUGUACCUUGCUUAGAAGAAAAAAAAGAAAAAAAAGGAGAAAUCAUAGGGAAAAGAAUCAAAACAUAAAAUAUGAUGAGAAUAGAUAGGCAUAGGCCCUUCCAUAUAAACCUUUAUUGGGCUAUUGCUGAUAAUUAUAAUUUGACAACUCAACGAUGAUGUUCCUUACUUUUGGAGAUAACCGAGAAGUGGAACAUGGUUUGUCUGUAAAAUUGCAAGUUCAAAAGUUAAUUCUCCAAGCUACAUCACAUGAAAAUUUGUGCCAGAACUAUGUUGGGUAUGAUGCUCUGCUAUUUCACUGCUUUCCUUGUUUAUAUUUGUGGUGCAUGUCUGUCUUUAUAUGUGUUCUAGAAUUUUGUUGAAGGGUAUAUAUUGGAUUUUUAUUUACAUAGUAGGAUAUUAAAAUGACAAACAGGAAGGCACCUCAACAUAUUUUGAGUUUGUUCCUAUUCUUCUCUUUUUCUUUUUUAGGUUUGAUAUUCUGUUCAAUCUUUGUCAAGUAUCGGGCAAGUCCAGUUGGUGUCCAUUAGACUUAUUCACAUAUGAUAUAUAAAUUUUAUGCUUGCUGUGGAUGGGUAGUGCCCUUUGAUAAAGUUAAUGAACUCACUCACUCACUAACUAUUCUUGACAUUUCCAUGCUCAUUUGCUGCAGGUGGCGUCCUUUUUGGUGAUCUCAAGAACAAAAAAGAAAUGGUAUAUUUGUGCAUAACAUUUUGUAUACAUCUGUAAUUUAUGUGUAUAUAAAGUAUAUAUUACAGAUAUCUCGUCUCUUUCUGGCCUUGUGUUGCAUACGCAUUAUUUUAAAUUAAUAAUUUUUUACAGUUUUCUCACGUUUAUUCUCAUCAACUACAUACGACCCCGUGAGGUUAAUCAAAAUUUACUUUUUUCGAUAAAGGAUUUUUUUUUCAUACAUUUUUAAUUGGUUCAUAGAUAAAAAGAUUUUACAUUUUACAAAGGUUACAUUUAGAUUUUUAAUUUUGUUUAUAAAAUUUUUACAUUUUACAUUUACAUUUUACAAAGCUUCAGCAUAGGGUGUAACUUAAUUUUUUUGCAAAUGAAAGUUUAUGGUUGUAUAUUGUUUGCAAAAAAAUACUGGUAUAGUUUUUACUCUGAUUAGCUGUAGUUAUUUUUGUGUUAUAUUUACAGUCUUUAAAAUUAUUAGAAUAUGUAGUAGGUACUGCAUAUUAUGCAUAAAAUUUAUAACCAACAUUGAUAACAAGAUGGGAAAUGUUCGAGUUACUGUCUCUCUCCAAAUAUUUCACUGUAAAAAUUGUUUUACUGCAGUUUGAAAGGUGCCAAAGUCGGCCUUUGCAUUGUGGUGUGCAUUAGACAUCACGAAAUAGAAUUUAGUAAAAGCAUUGAAUCAUAUUUCACUUAGCAUUUCAAGGAGUUUGAGUAAUAGGAGUUGAAUGGUGGCAUUGCUUAUAGAAAAUUAUGAGUGCCAGAAGAUUGAUAUACUUUUUUAAGCCAAAUUGAAUGUGACAUUGCCUAGACCCCUAAGUACACAUGUAAACAUUUUGUUUAAUUAGAGUUUUGUCAACAGUAAAAAGGCCCUUACAUCUCUAAGCUCCCCCUCCCCCUCCCUUAAGAGGAAUAUAUUGUGUCCUCAUUUUCCGAAGCUGCACAAGGUCAAAGGUGAAAGUAUCAUGAUAACCAAGCAUUAACGGUGUAGCUUUUCUUUGGUACUGUUGUCUGACUCACAUUUCUCUUUGAAAUCCUUGGGUUGAAUUUUAUCUUGCAGGUAGAUUAUGCAUGCACACUUGAAGAAGUGCAGUAGCAUUAAUUCUCUGCAGGAAGAUUCCUAGAUUGAGGCUUAUAUGCAAAAUGUGAGUUAUGGAUCUGGAGAAGGGAAUGAUAGGCUGCUUAUAUGCAAAAUGUGAGUUAUGGAUCUGGAGAAGGGAAUGAUAGGCUGCUUCUAUGCAAAAUGUGAGUUAUGGAGUUGGUUUUCCUUUUAAACAUUACUUUGAAUACAUUGCAGGUUGUUCCAACACAAUAUAAAGUAAUGGAAAAAAACAAAGAAAUAACAUGAUGCAUAAGAAAUAUAUAAAAUAUAUUAGUGAGGAUUAGGUAGAUAGAAAUGCCAUCAAGAAGUAUGCUGCUUGUGUUGACCAUUUGUGAUUUGAACUUGCCUAAUGUGUUAUAGGUUUAGCAUUUUGUUUCUUCUACUGAAAUUUUAAUAUUUUCUUCAUAUUUCCUUGUUGGUUAAAUCUGUUUAUAAUGUUUUUUAUUUUAUUUUAUGUAUUUACAUUUCUUUUUUGACUUGUUACAGAUAUGGUUUAUGAAUUGCUGCGCAUAUCAACCCAGUAUGUCUAGAAUCUAUUUAUUUUCUUCUUUUCUUAUAUUAUACAGCUUUCUGUUCCAAUUUAGAAAUUUUCUGACUAUUUCAAACCAGUGCAACAAAUUAAAUAAAAUGAUGGUUAUCAAGUAAGACAUUUUCCAUAGCCUGUAAUAGUUUGUUAUAGUUAUACAUGGUAGGAAUUAAGCUUUUCAUUUAAAAUGUGUCUAUUUGGUUUUCCACUGAAGUGUCACCACAGCAUAUAGUAGGGUUUAUGGCUUUAUGAACUUAUGCUUUUAGGUACUGCACGUUCAUUUUGAUUGGUUUGUUUGAUUUUGAGGCAAAUCAAAGAAUUAAAAACUCCAAUGAGAUGAAUGUUUAGAUUUUUUUAAAAAAAAAGUUAUAUUGUGAAUUAAACUCCAAUGAGAUCAAUGUUUAGAUGAAUGUUUGGAUUGGGGGCAUAAUUAAACUUUAUGGUUGAGGCUGACAUGAUUUUCUCUUUGUAACAGGUCAAUGAGUUCAAGUCUAUAGAAAAGUUUAAAAUUUUCAAUACAAACAAUUUGUAAGUCAUAUUGCCUUAACAUGUUAGAAUUGUCUAUUUGGCUUAGUACUAACAGUCAAUGUUACAAGUGGGUCAACGUGAAUGCUAUCAAGAGGCUUUUGGAAGCUGAUGCACUCAAGAUGGAGAUCAUUCCAAACCCGAAGGUUUGUAUCACUUUCUUACCAUGUCGUCUCUGGUGGAUUUCUGAUUUCUAAAUUAUAAAAUUGGCUGCAGGUGGUCAAUGGAAUCAAGGUUCUUCAACUGGAAACUGCAGUUGGUGCAGCAAUUAGGGUAGAAAAUUGUACCAGUUAUGGUUAUGAUGUAUUAAAAUGUAAAAAGUUCUGUCUAACCAUGUGUUUUCCGUACGUGAUCAUGCUAUUGGUAUCAAUGUACCUCGAUUGUGAUUCCUUAUGUCUUAUUCAUGAAUUUUCAUUUUAAUACGUUUUCAAAUUAAAUUAUACAUUUUUAAAUUGGAUUUGUGACGUUUCUAUAAUAUUUUUUUUCUUUUUUAUGAUCUUUAGCGGCGUUUUUGGAAAAAGCGCCGCUAAAGGUUAGGUUUUUAGCGGCAUUUGUGGGAAAAGCGUCGUUAAAGAACCUAACCUUUAGUGGCGUUUUUGGGAAAAGCGCCGCUAAAGGUCAUGUUCUUUAGCGGCGUUUUUUAAAAAGGCGUCGUUAAAGAUCAUGUUCUUUAGCGGUGUUUGUGGAAAAGCGCCGCUAAAGAUCAUGUUCUUUAGCGGCGUUUGUGAAAAAUGUGCUGCUAAAGGUCAUGUUCUUUAGCGGCGUUUGUGGGUAAAGCGCCGCUAAAGAUCAUGUUCUUUAGCGGCGUUUUUUCAAAUAAACGUCGCAAAAGUUAGCGACGUUGUCAAUAGCGACAUUUUUUGCGGUGCUUUCACUGCAAAUAUUUUUAGCGACGCUAAAAAACGCCGCUAAAGGCCUAAAAAAACGCCGCUAAAGGCCUAAAAAAACACCGCUAAAAGCCUAUUUUGGUGUAGUGACUAAUAAGACUCUUUGAACUGGAAUUGGGUGUGGUUCGCCAAGCCCAAGCAAUACUGCAAAACCUGGGCAACGAUCGUGAACCUCAGUAGCAAGAUACCUUUAUGGACUCUCCCACUCAAAAAAUAAAUUUAAUAUCAUGUGAUCCAAUGGACCACGUAUCAGUUAUUAAACUGAUAAGAACAGAUACUACACUUGAUCUUAGCCAAAAGGCCGAGAAACGUAUGCUUUCAUUUAGCAAGCAUCGGGCAUUUUAAAUUCUGCUUCUCGCUUGUUCUUACGUACUCUUUAUGAUGUGGGAUUUUAUGCAAAUCAGUUACAAGAGCCGCCUACUGGUGCUCCUAUAAAGAUUGAACCCUUCCUGAAUAGACUGAUUCUGGGCUACUUACGAUUUGAUUCAACAACCAAGGUACCAUACAACAAGAAAACAACUCUCCUAACCACCAAAACUUUGAAAAACAAACACUGCAUUUGCAAUUUAUAAAUCAAACCAGGAAUAGGAUUAUGGCUUUGCUCAAAGAAGCAGCAAUGGCAAAAGCAUUAGUUGUAUCUAUGUUGAACUGGAAGUCCUUGUACAACAUUGUUUCCAGGAUAGAAGUCUUCCGCUUUGGAUCAUUGCAGACGGACCUUCCCAUAACAAACAGUACACAGUUCUGUAUCAGACACCUUUUCUUUCAUUGUAAAAAGCAAGUUUAGCUUGAAUCCCAAUCAAAUACGUGAACAUGCUGCUUCGGUUCGCAUGUGACACUCUUCCAUGCAAUAGGCAAGCCAUCCACAAAUUGUAAUUUCAAUGGUUUACUUUCUUCCUUGUUUCCGUCUCCCAUAUCUUUUGUUUUAUUAUUCUUUUCUAUUCUACAGCUUAGGACUUCACAAUUUUUGUCAUUUUCAUGGAGAAUGGGAGAAUAUAAGCUGACUCUGUUUUCAAGAUUUAUUAUUACAGAGUUCUUUCUUUUUAAUCUUCUUUUGAUAUUGACUCCUCUCAAGAUCCAUAUAUUUUGUUCUCCAUGAUAAGCUUACAUCUGUUUCAUGUCCAACGAUAUGUAAGGUCAGUACGCAAACCAGAAUCAAUUUUGCAAGAUAUCUUCGGUGAUUUCCAGACUAAAUUUAAAAAUUUCAAUAAAAUAUGAAGAAAUUGAUCACCUACCUAGGCUUUGAAAGAGCCUAAUAUUCUUCAUUAUUCUCACUCUAUAAAUACUCCAACAUCCUGUUUACAUCUCCACAGCUCAAAAACCUGUUCGAUCAUUUCGUAAAAUCAGUAGAAAAUAAUGGGUGUUUUCACAUACGAAUCUGAGAUUGUUACUGCAAUCCCACCAGCCAAGAUGUUUAAGGCUUGCAUCCUUGACGGGGACACUCUCAUUCCCAAGAUUGUUCCUCAGGUUUUUAAGAGUGUUGAGUACUUGGAAGGUAAUGGUGAGCCUGGGAGUAUCAGGAAGGUCACCUUUGCACAAGGUUAUUUAGCUUAUUUUUUUAACUUCAUAUUUUGAGCCAAAUCUAAUAUAUGAUUAAGUUUGAAGGAAAAAAGGAUGAAAAUGAUGUGGUUUUUGGACAUGUAUGUUGCAGGAAACCAAUUCAAUUACAUGAAACAGAAGGUAGAAGCAUUAGACACAGAAAAAUUUGAGUACAUUUACAGUGUGAUUGAAGGCGAUCCGCUGAUGAACAUGCUCGACAAAAUAACUUAUGAAAUAAAGUUAGAAGACUCUCCAGGUGGGGGAUCCAUAUGUAAGACUAGUAGUAAGUAUUACACCAUUGGUGACAUUGAGCUCAAGGAAGAGGCAAUCAAGGCAGGCAAAGAAAAGGCUUUGGGUGUAUUGUUCAAGUCCAUCGAAGCCUACCUCGUCGCAAAUACUAACGCCUAUUGAGAUUGCAUUCACUACAAUGAAUAUCAAGAAAUUGGCCUUCUCCUCUUCUAGCUUUUACUUCUGCAGCAAAUGAGCUUCAAAUUUCUAAUAAAGACUUCAUAGUUUGCCUGAAAUAAACAAAAGACCAGACAGUGUAUGUACUGAAUCUUGUUGUGUGAGAUAUUCAUUGAGAAUAAAGAGUUGGUCAUCUUUCAUCUGAAUAAUCCUUGUCCUAUUAACCACCUUUAGUCAUUAGUUGCAUAAGUUAAAUGUUAUAGAGCUGGCUCAUGGAUUAAACAUGUGUAGCUCAUAAUCCAUUUACUCAAGACAUUUACCUGAAAAUUUAACAAUUUCAGUUAUGAUUCUAUGAUCUGAAAUUUUUUCCUCUCAUAGUAUUUACUACUGCUAGAGGAUUCUGGAUUAGUCUUGCCAAUAAUUUCAACAAGACUCUUCAGUUUGUAUAUCUGUACUGAAAAAAAUCAGUAUGCAACACUCAACAUUAAGUCGGUAUUACAUAAUGCUAGAAUUGAUGAAUUAAAGGUACUCAUUGACUGCAGGAACCUGAUAACACGAUAGAAAAUGCAAGUGCUGAAGAUGGUUUUAAGUACCCAACAGUGAAAGCGCUAGGCUAUAAAAACUGAAAUGGGGUUAAAGUGAGUUUUUGGGAAAAUCCUAGGGACAAUUAAAGUAUAAGAUAUUCACCUUUUGUUCUAUCUUACAAGAAUAUAACCAUGUUAAAUUUGGCACAUAAAUCACUGAUCAACUGAAUUUCUGGAACCACGUACGGUGGCUGUAGUAACAUAAUAUUCAGGAUUUCAUGUUAAUACUUUUGCUGCAACAGGUUUAUUUCUAGAAAACUAACAAACUAUCACCGAAAGUUACUAUGUUGCUCUGACGAUUCAUUAUUCUUGAAGUACCCUUACAGCCAUACAUGGUACUUACGUUAUCCGGACAUUAGUAUGGGGAUAUGAUCCUCAUAAGACUCUCUAGAUACAUGAAACACAUAAUAAAAUUGAAGAUAACUGUGUUAGAUCCAAGGUUUUGAUUGCUUAAAAUAUUAGUGAAUUAGAGUCUUUUCUUUUCAAUCUUCUUCAGAGUUCCAAUAAUAUUGGUCUCAUGAUUCAAUGAUUUGUUGGUUUAUGGUAAGCUUGAUGUUGUAUAUUGAAGAGAUAAGUAAGAUAUGUACACAAACCAGAAUCAUUUGAAAAUUUUUAGGUGCUUUUCUCAUACUAAAGUACAAAAUUUCACUAAAUGGCAAAAAUCCCAUAAAAUAUAAAGAAAUCAACAAAGAUUCUAGAUGGCCUAAAACUCACAAACAGCUAAAUCUUGAAGCUGACACUAUAAAUACUACAAUUAUAUAUCAGAUAUGUACAUCAUCGGCAAACAUAAAACAUAUCCUCUGCAAAGUAACCAAAUCCCAAAUCACUUGAAACCAUGGGUGUUUUCACAUAUGAAUCUGUGGUUAUUACAGUGAUCCCACCAGCGAAGAUGUUUAAGGCUUGCAUCCUUGAUGGUGACACUCUCAUUCCCAAGAUUGUUUCGUAGGAUUUUAAGAGUGUUGAGUACAUUGAAGGCAAUGGUGAGGCUGGUAGCAUUAAGAAGGUCACCUUUGGAGAAGGUCUGCUCAUUUAUAUAAUUUUGAAUCAUAUACAUAUAUGUACAUUAAGUCUGAAGGGAAAAGGGUGAAAGCUAUGUGUUAUUCUUCAUGCAGGAAGCCAAUUCAAAUACAUGAAGCAGAAGGUUGAAGCAAUAGACAAGGAGAAUUUUGUGUACAUUUACAGUGUGGUUGAAGGUGAUGCAUUGAUGAACAAGCUUGAGAAAAUCACUUACGAGACAAAGUUAGAGGCCUCUCCAGAUGGGGGAUCCAUAUGUAGGACUACUAGUAUUAUUAUACCAUUGGUGACUUUGAGCUCAAGGAGGAUGGAGUCAAGGCUGGCAAAGACAAGGCUUUGGGAAUAUUUAAGGCCAUUGAAGCGUACAUCCUGGAAAAUCCUAACGCCUAUUGAAAAUAUCCCAACAUUGAGAUUGCAUCCACUGCAUGCAAUGAAUAUCAAACAAUUGCCUUCUUUCUUCUAGUUUUUGGUGUUGCAACAUACGACCUUUAAACUGCUAAUAAGAGUUCAUAGUUUGCCCUGGUUACCAGGAAGCUUGAACUGAAAUGUAAAGCAUGUAAUAAUCAGAAGAGCAUCCAAUGUAUUUUGUUGGAGUUUUUGUAAGAAAAAGAGGACACAAGACAAGGCAGCAAGAUACAAGAAAACAUUUUUACUUGCUCACAAAUGUGAGCAAGGGAGCUUAUGGCUUUUAGGUCAUUUUGCCCAUUCAGUCAACUAGAAAAAACAAUACAUUUAUAGCCAAAUACAUCACCAAAUACUACCUACUACCACUAAGUAGCCUAGUAACUUGAUAAACAUUGCUUAUACACAUAAACAAGCCACCUAAACUAGUCAUUCAACAUCUAAUGUAUCAAGUUGUCAUCAAUUUGUUCAUUUUCAACUAGUUUGAUUACAAUGAAACUAAACAAAAAAACCUUGUUGUUACAGCAAGCAUACGUGUUGCAACAUGUUUACAAGCUACAUGCACUUCAACCAAAAAUAUCAUAGCAGCAUGGUUGGCCAAUUUUCAACACUCCUCCUUGGACUCCAUGCUGCGAAUACCAAUCAUUCAACAAUUUUUAACUUGGCAAUCAAAAGAUGAUUUGUUUCAAGCUGAACCUGCUCAAGCAAUACAUUUUCAACCUUGGCCUCAUUUUCAACCAAAUCUGACUCACACAAUUGUCCAUACCAGUCUUUUGUGCCAAAUAUUUGUUCAUCAAAUGGAGUAUUCUCCUCCUUCACAGCCUUAGUUGACAACACAUCUUGUCUUGUUCCCUUGUUCAUUACAAUCCUAUUUCUUCUUGCAUAUACAGUUUGCGAGUAUAGUUUGCUUGCCUUCAGUCUGCUAUUUUGGCUUGCACCCACUCGAGCUUGCAUUUAGACUGACCGCCACUUCGGCUUGCAAUUUGAUAGGCUCACACUUUGACAGGCUCGCACUUUGCUUACUGUCUUCAACAGGCUUGCAACUUUACAACUUGCAUUGAGCUUCCACAUGUUGCUGAUCUCGUACCUUUGACAGACUUACAUAUUUGCAUACUGUCUUCAGCUGGUAUCUUCAAUAGGCUCGCAACUAUAUAGGGCUCGCACCUUUUGAUGAGCUCGCACCACUUGCUAAGCUCAGAGCUCGCACUUCUCGCUAAGCUUGUAGCUUUGACAUCUUGCUGAGCUUGCAGCUUGCACAUUUUUGCUGAGGUUAUAGCUUACACAUUGGAAAGCUUACAUACUUUCCUUGAAACUCCUCCUUCAGCUUAUUCAAGCUUGUUUGGGAGACUCACAGGGUUGAGCUAUUGUCGUCUUCUCAACAAGCAGUCUUAAAUGACAUGCUUUGGCAGCUUCUUUCUUUUUAACAAGCAGCGGAAGCAAAAUCUGUAACAUCUUGAUUUUGGGCAUAGUCGAAACAAUGGUUUCGGGACCACAAAUUCGAUGAGAAAAAAAUUAUUUUUACUAUAUUUUUAUGGCCUUUAAUUUCACGGAAUGAUUUCGUGAAAAUUUCGUUCAAAAAUUUCGACGUUUGGGCACUCAAUUUAGUCAAAAGGACUAAAUUGUAAAAAGUGCAAAAGUUGAGUUCUACAUGUUAGAGGUGUCCAAUUGUUAUGAAAUUUUAAAUUGGAGGUCUUUAUAUGGUAAUUAGACCAUUGGUUAAGUUAUGGACAAAAAUGGACAUGAUAUAAGUGAAAUAGGAAAUUUUUAAGUUAGGGGUAUUUUGGUAAUUAAAAUGAAUUAAAAGGGAAAAAGAUGGAAAAUUGUGCUCAUCUUCUUUAUUUGGUUGAAAUUAGCUAGGGGGAAAGCCAUAGUUAGGGUUUUCAGGCUUCCAAGCUCCAUAUUAAGUUAUCCCAAUCCCCGUUUUUAAUGUUCUUUACGUUUUUGAAGCCCCGGUAACUUGAUUUAGCUUAUUCUAGCAAUAAUUUAACCUAGAGUUCAUAUUUGGAAAAGUACCCAUAGGUGAUAUGUGUUUGUUUUGAUGUUUUAUGGUAGAAUAUGAAGUCUUUAAUUAUGUUAAACAAUUUGUGCUAAGCGAUUUUAAGUGAAAACGAGUAAAAUGACAUAAUCGGUAAAAAUACCUAAUGUUCAUAAGUAAGUGUUAGAAUGGGAAUUUGAUGUUACCAUGGAAGGGAGAAAUGUUCUGCAUGUUAUAAAACAUAAGAAUAUGGGAUGAAGUUUAAUUUCCGAGCUUUAGGGCAAAAGUGUAAAUAUGUAAAAGUUUAGGGGCAAAAUCAUAAUUUUGCCAAAGUUAGAGUCGAGGGAUGUUUUGAUAAAUGUGAGUAUUAAAUAAACUAAAUUUUCUAUUAUAGAUAAAUAAGAACGAAAUCCGAGGUUAGACCGAGUAAAGAAAAAGGUUGAAGACUAAGUUGAUAGAUUUGGCCAUAUUUUGUACCAAGGUAAGUUUACGGUAAAUAAAUGCAAUAUUUUGAUAAUUAUUAUUAAUGGUGUUGUUUUUCAGCAAUUAUGUAUUUAUUUCAUGAAAAUAUCUAAUGUUCGACUUAAGUAUGAGAUGACAGAGAAUCAGCGAUAAAAGCCCCGUUGAAACAUUGGGAAUGUAUCGGAUACAAAUGUCAUGACAUUAAGGGAAUGAGAUCCCAUGUAAAACCAUGUCCGGGAUAUGGCAUUUGUAUCAUUGAGAUUAUGAGAGGUCUCAUGUAAGACCAUGUCUGGGACAUGGUGUUGGCAUCGAGAUGAGAGGUCUCCCGUAAGACCAUGUCUGGGACAUGGCAUGGGCACCGAUAUGAGAAGUCCCAUGUAAGACCAUAUCUGGGAUAUGGCGUUGGCAGUACAAGAAACAUCUCAUGUAAGACCAUGUCUGGGACAUGGCUUUGGAAUGUUAUUAUCAGAAAAGAGACCCAAGUAUCCUUAUUAUUCCAAUGUGGCUAACGGGCUAGUAAACAAAUUAUGUUCCAUGAAAGUUCAGGUAAAAGCAUAAAUAGCAAAUUCAGGUGAGUUAUAAGAGUUAAGAACAUAUUAUGUUAUCAAUUGAGAACCAACAUUUCAGCAAGAGAAGAGUAAGUUAUAAUCAUGAGUUAUCUAAGUAAACAAGUAAGUGAACGAGUAAGAGAGUAAGUAAAGAGGAAAUUAAAGAUCAUGACAUUUGAGUAUAAUUAUUUGUGUUAAAUGUUGUUAUUUAUUUGCUUGUAAACUUACUAAGCUUUAUGCUUACUUCUUUUAUUUUCCUUCUUUUAUAGUAUUGCAAAGCUAAUUCGGGGAUCUUAAAGACGUCGGAGAGCGCUCACACUAUCAACAACAACAACUCGGUAUUUUAUGAUGAUCAAUGUUUAAGCUAUGGCAUGUAUAGGGACUCAGUCAUUUUGAAUGUAUGUCCUUAUGAUAUUGCUAAAGGAUGAUGUGUAAAUAUGUGAUAAUGUUUAGCUAUUAAAAUGGCUAAGUAAGAAUAUGUUUGGUAUUAUGAAUGCCUAGAUGAAAGUUUAUACCUAGAAAUUAUGAAAGAGUAAAAAUUUGCAAUGAAACAGUUUUGGGACAGCAGCAGUGAUUUUGAAAAAUCACCAAGGAUAGUAUAAAAUGAAUUAGAGAGUGAAUGAUAUAUAUAAUUAAAGCUUAUCAAGUCUAUUUUCAUAGAAAAAUAACAGUGUGGGUAAAGGAAUUUUAUAUUCUGAGAUAUUUGAAUUUUGGUUAGACAGGGUCAGAAUGGUUUUUGGAGUCCCCUGUUCUGACUUUAGAAAAUCAUUAAAAAUUGUACAAAAAUAAUUAAGAGUUAUAAUUUAUAUGUCUAGAUUCCUUAGUGAGCCUAUUUUCUGUAGAAACAAGUGAGAACACCAUAUGAAAAUAACACAAUGAGAAAAUUUAUUUUUAGUGAAUAAAGGUCAGAACAGUCAGGCAAUGAAACAUGGGAGACUUUAAUGAAUAAACUAUACUAAUUGGCUAAAUCAAAAAUUCUGAAAAUUUUCUGGGAAGAUAAUAUAUGAGUCUAGUUUUAGGGAAAAUUUACAGAUCUAAAUUUAGAGUUUUUAAACUCGAGUUAUAGUUAAAUUAGUGACUACUUCGCAGGUGCACAACAUUAUGGUGAACAGUGAAAUAAAUUUUAAAAGUAAAUUUUUAUGCCCCGAACUAAUAAGUUAAGUCAAGUAAAGCCCCAUGCUCAACUCCAGCAAUGGUCUCAGGUAAGGGGUGUUACAAAAUCAAUGGCCCUUAAAGACUUAGGCUCAUGAUACCAAUUGUUGGAGUUUUUGUAAGAGUAAAGGAAGAAAAAUAGGACACAAGACAAGGCAGCAAGAUACAAGAAAACAUUUUUUCUUGCUCACAAAUGUGUAGCAAGGGAGCUUAUGGCUUUUAGCUCAUUUUGCUCAUUCAUUCAACUAGAAGAAACAAUACAUUUAUAGCCAAAUAAAUCACCAAAUACUACCUACUACCACUAAGUAGCCUAGUAACUUGAUAAACAUUGCUUGUACACAUAAACAAGCCUCCUAAAGUAGUCAUUCAACACCUAAUGUAUCAAGUUGUCAUCAACUUGUUCAUUUUCAACUAGUUUGAUUACAAUGAAACUAAACAAAAAAAAACCUUGUUGUUACAGCAAGCAUACAUGCUACAACAUGUUUACAAGCUACAUGCACUUCAACCAAAAAUAUCACAGCAGCAUGGUUGGCGAAUUUUCAACAUAUUUACUGAAUCUUGUUGUUAGAUAUCCAUUGAUAAUAAAGAGUUCAUCAUCUUUCAUCUUUCAACUUUAAAAAGAAAUUUGAAACUAAUUCUAAUAGAUAUUCCUUAAAAUUCAACCUGGAAGAGAAAUUAUAUUGACAUAUAUACUUCAUACAUUUACUCAAAAUUUGAGUAAUUUCAGUCAUAAUUCCAUGAUCCCAAAAUUGUUCCUCUUAUAGUGCUAAAAUCAAGUAUUUAACUACUGCUAGAGGACUGUGAAUUAUUACCAUCAAUAACUUUCGAUUUUAUAUAUCUACAGUGGAAAUAUAUCCAUAUCCAAAACUCAUCAUCAAGUCCAGGUAACAUAAUGAAAGAAUUUAUAAAUGGAAGGUACCCAUUGACUGCAGCAACCAAUAACUCAAUAGGAAAAUUGAGGUGCUGAAGAUGGUUUUAAGUACCCAGCACUGAAAUGGGGUUAAAGAGAGUUUUAGGGAGAUUUCACCAUUUGUUCUAUCUUAGGUGAUAAGUGCUAAAAGUAAUAUGUUUUAUUCUCAUUCUUAAUGCUUAGAUGUUAAUGAUGAAUUUUAUGCUCUUAAUCUUUUAAAUUCAUGUUUUUAUACUUAAGAGAGUAUUUGAAAGCAAAAGAAGCGAAAACCAGAAAAAUUGAAGUAAUGUACAGGAGCCACAUGAGCUAACCCCUUCCACACGGCCAUGUGAGCCGCAAGGGAUGCCACACGUCCAUGUAGCAUGUUGUGUCGAUUUCGUGAAUUGGCACUCUAAAUUGCGGAAAAAAAAUAUUUUUUAGGUUUUUCGGGCAUUUUAAGACGUAUAUAUGACAAACAUAAGAAGAUAAAGGGAGGGUUGUCAUAAAAUACUCAAGAAAACAACUCAAAAGAUACCAUUGAAGCCGAUUCGAAAGAAGAUUUCUGUCAAGAUUGAAGACUCCCAGUUGGUUUUUUAGAAAGAUAUCAUGAGUUUCUUUAUUUCUUGUGGUUAUACUGCGUUGAGAUGUUUUUAUUUUGAAGCAUAAACUAAUUUUCUAAAUAACUAAGGGAGAUGAACCCUAAAAUGAUUUCUGUUUUUUAUUUUAAUUUUACGAAAUAAAUUAUUAGUUUCUUAUUCUCAAUUAUGUGUGCUUAAUCAUUGGUUUAACAUUUUUAAAAUAUUGAUCUAUGUUUGAUGUACUUAAAUUAGAGGAGAAAUAAACCCUGUUUAAGAGUAGGUCUUGCGUAAUUGAGUGGGGUUGCAUACAAUCUUAGAAAUAGGGUGACAUAAAUCUAUUGGAUUUGAGUCAAAUCUAAUAUAGGGGAAUCUAUAGAUUGAGUUAGUGCGAUAAUAUGGGUUUUAAUAAGAAAAAAUUUUCAAUUAAUCAACCUAAAGUCAGUUGCUCUUACUCUUGAAAGAGAUGUUAACAUAAUUUAAAAAUUUCUACGGACCAAUAUACUAAGUAAAGAAAUCGUGUAAUUUAAAUUGAUAGUGACAGAUGAAAUCUAGAUGAAUUCUUUCAUUAGUAUUGUUUUGCUUCUUGGUUGUUAAUCAUUUAUUUACUUGUUUUGUUCUUUGUCAUGUUCAUUAGUUAAUUAAACAGGUUAAUUUUAGUUUUUGAAUCAAUCACUUGAAUCAUUUAAGAAAAUGUGGGAUUGUGUAUAUGAACAGAUUUGAGAAAAGAAAACAAUUUUUGCUUUGUGAAAUGUAAGAGGAAAUACACAUCAAGGUAAUUAUUCCUGUUUUGGUAACUUAAUAUCUUAUCAUUAAGCUAAGAGGUUGUUGACCACAUUCAUCUAUAUUUUUACUUAAUAAAAAUUUGAAAGGUAAACUAUUUAGAUAGUCACCCAAGUUUUAAUGCGUUCCUGUUUUAGUUAUUCAAUUUUUUUUAUUAAUUUAAUUACUCAUGUAACUGGAUUUCAUUUUUUAGCCACUCCAUUAUUAAAAUGUUUUGGUCAUUAAAUAGAAAUAUUGGCAUGAGAUUCUUUUGAAUAAUAUAAUCUUUAAAAAAUAUAUAAGAAAAUAUUCAUAUGGAUUAGAUUUGAAAAUGAAGCAUUUUAAAAUAUGGGGAUAAAUUCUAAAAUUAUAUAUGAACUUUGAUUCAAUGUGCAACUUGAUAUAUGAACUUUAAUUUGAUGCAAUUAUACACAUGAAACUUUGAUUGUGGUUCAAAUGUAUACAUGAAACUUUAAUUUUGAUUCAAUUAUAUGCACAUUUAAAGAAAUAAAUACAUCAAUUUAUUUUUAUAUUGGAUAAAUAUAAUUAUAUGCAUAUGUAAUAUACAAACAUAAAAUGAUGUUAUUAAUAAUUUAUGAGAAUUUGAUCAAAUCAAAAUUUCAUGUAUAAAAUUACACAAAAUCAAAGUACACGUAUAGUUUUCAAAUUUACCCCUAAUUAAUUCUAUGAAAUUAUUUUAAAUGGAAACAAUUGAUAUAAUGUCUAAACAAUUUUAUAGUAUUAAAAUAUCGCAUUUAAAUCCCAUACAACGUACAAUAUUUAGAAUACCUUUUUUUAGUAUUAUUUGUAAAAAGCUACACAUUUUUAAAUUAAAUUAAAUUAAAUAUAUUAUAAUUAUCGACAUUUAUGAAAUUUUGUUUCACAUUGCUUUCUAGAUUGCCAAGCAUUUGAGUGUAAUUUUGAUAUCUCGGUUAUAAGGAUUGUAUGGAAACCAAGUUAGCCGCCUUUUGUUUGUCCUUUUCGUUGGAAACUAGCCGCCUUAUUAUUAUUUUCCAUGCAUGCAGAGAAGAGGAAUAAAAUUACAUUCUUUAUGCAAGGUGGUAUUAUUUUGACCAUUUCUUUGUCAAUCAAUCUUAUCCAAUGAAGAAUAAGAUGGAAAUGAAAUGUGAGUGUAUAAAUAGCAUGUUAGUUUCUCAUUUCUUCCCAUAUCGGAUAGCAUCAGUUCAUAGAUAUUUGCGUUGAAUCAAUUUGUUUGUAUAAUUUGAAGAGAAAGAUGGGUGGUUUUGCAAAAGAAGCAGAGGUUAGUACAUCACUUCCCCCAGCCAAGGCAUUUAAGGCAUUUGCUGAAGAUCUGGACACCCUAUUGCCCAAGGUUGCCCCACAAGCAAUCAAGAGUGUGGAACGCCUUGAAGGAGAUGGUGGCCCUGGAACUAUAAAGAAGAUCACCUUUGCUGAAGGUAAUUCAAUUCCUUAAAAAGGUAAACUACAAUUUUAGAUUAUCUUUCUUCACAUACCAAUGUGCCUGUGGGGUGAUAACAAAUGCAGGGUAUGGAUUCAGUUAUGCGAAACACAGAGUAGAUGUGUUAGACAAAGACAACUUGUUGUACACUUACGUUGUGAUCGAAAGCGACUUUUUUAACAACAUGGUGGAGAAAAUCAGCUACGAGACAAAGUUUGUAGCAGCAGCAGAUGGAGGAACAAGUAUUAAGGUAAAUACCACCUUUUACACCAUUGGUGACAUUCAGAUCACUCCAGACCUAAUGCUCCAAAUCAAGGAAGCAUCCGAGAAGCGAGCCCUUAUUUUGAAAGCUAUAGAGAAUUAUGUGUUGGCAAAUCCCGGUGUCUAAUUUGCCUUACCCAAAAACUGUAUUUGAUUUGGGUAGUAGAUUGUUUGUCUCUCUGGAUUUCAUCAUUUCUGUUUCCAUUGUAAUAAAAGUCUUUGGAGUUGUUAUCAUCUUUCAUACAUACUUGAAACCAAUGUUUUAUGGUUCAUGACACUUACACUCUUAUUAUUUGUAGACCUCUAGCUUUUGUUUGUGUUUUUAAGGUUGGGUUUAUAGUUUGGUUAAUUACUCAUGUACUUUUUCAUGUUUCUAUGUAUGGCAUCUUUUGCUUGGUUACUAAACUCUUAGAGGGUUUUUAGAAUCUCUUUAGUGUCUAACACUGUGGAAAAAAGUUGACAUAAAGAGUCUAUUUUAUACUUCAUUUUUUAAGUGUUUGUGGAUUAAAUUGAUAAAAUUUGUAUAAUAGAGGACUACAUUUGUUAAAUUAUUUAGAAUUAGGAACUAAUUGAGGACUAAAUGUUAUUUACACCAAUUAAAAAAGGGCCAUGUCAUCAUUUUCGUUAACGAUUUAACGAAGGGUGGCCAAAACAAAAUCGAUCGAAAAUGUUAGUGAUGAAAUUGAAAGUUUUUGUAAUUCGAUGACCAAACUAAAAACACGCUAAUAGUUGGGUAAUUAAUGGUAUAGUUUACCCAAAUUUUUUUUCUUUUUAAUAAGUUAAUUUAUAAUGAUUAUAAUUUCAUAUAUAAUUUUAAGAUGAAACUUAUGAUAGCAUUACUAUGGAGAAGUUUAGCAGAAAUUGGAAUCCAAUUACUUGAAGAUAUGAGAAAAGAAAGACAAUUUAUUGCUUUGUGAGAUGUAAAAGGAAAUACAUAUGAAGGUAAUUAUUAAAUAUUGUGUUUACUAUUUGAUAAAAGCUUACAAUUUUUUUUAACAAUGCUUAAACUUUCUAAAAAACAAAUUUGGUCCUUUAUAGCUUAGUAAAUUUUGUGUAUCCCAUCCUUCAUAUCAACAAAUGGUAAAUUCUAGUAAUAUUUGAAUAAACUUUAUUCAAAACCAACAACUACUUAGAAAAAUGUAGGAAUGGACAUUUUUUCUAGGCAUUUAAAACAAGUUUGAAUUUUGAUGUCAUCAUUGUGGGAGCGUUUUACCUAAAUACUAUCCUACCCGAACAAGAUUAUUCUUAAACCGUAAAACGGAUGAUUACAUGUGUACUUAUAUAAAAAAAUGAAAGCAAAUUUCAUUCAAAUAUUCUUAUUUUAUAAUUAAAAUUUUUUAUUUCAUGCGAAAAUAUAUCUAUAUGUUAAUGUUAAAAUAUGACAAGGUUUGUCUUUAUUGGUGAUAUUCAUUAGAAUGGGAAGUUACCUUGUGGAUGGUGGGGUAGGACCCCAAACUCUACAACAACAGUGGACGUAAUCUAUGGAGAAACACACACAAUGGGGAAUUUAGGGUCAAAAUUGUGGUGUCUUAAAAUGCCUUUCAAACUAGUAAUGUUAGAACUAUGAACUCGUGCCUCCCAUGCAAAGUGGAAAUUCAAAGAAGAAUCGGAUCAGCUGAGACGAACUGUGCCAUCUGUCUUGAGGAAGAUGAAAGUGAAGAUCAUCUUUUUCUAUCGCGCCCUUUUACUAGAACAGUCUGGUUAGGAACAUCAUUUGCUAAUUAGAAGUGAUGCUAUAGGAACCACCUCAAUAAAGAAUUGGACCUAUGAGAUCAAGUACAUGGGAUGAACAAAGACAAAUGGAUACUCUACACCUGAUCCCAUUAGCAUAUGUAUUGUGGGGAAUUCGGACUCACUGAAAUAAAGUUAUCUUUGAAGGACAAGAGCCUAACUCGGUUGCAAUAAUAAGACAAGUGAUCGAUCAAUUACAACUGGCCAAACAAGCUUUCCUACCAAAGGAGGAACAAAGAAAAAGUACCAUAAUGGCCCAGAGUGGAGCUAUCACACGACAGACUUCUCACCAGCUCAUAUUGGAAAGGAAACCAUUAGGAAACAUGAUAGGUGCUAAAUUUUAUAUAGUUUCUUUUAUAUAUUGUGACUUGGUAUCGGAAAAAAGAAGAAGAAAUUAAUGUCUUUUAAAUACUUUUGUGGGAUAUGGUGCAUUCAUUCAAAUGCAAUUAUAUCCGGUGGCGAAGCUUAGUAGAGAACCAGAAGAUAUGAUACCUCUUAAAAUGGUAAAAUUUUUAAUUUAGGCUCUUUAUAAUUUAUAAAAUUUUAAAUUAUUAAUGGUAAAAUUACACAUCGACUCCCUAAAAAUGAUAAAAAUUUGAUUUAAUUUUUUAAAAAAUUAUAAAAAUAUAAGUUAUUAAAAUAAUGAAAUUACCUUUUUAUUAUUGUAAAAAUAUACAAUUUAAUUUCGGCCCAAAAAGUUUUAUGAUUCCACCACCUAUUAUAAUGAAUAUCACCAAUAAAGAUAAACCUUGGCAUGAUGCUUGUAAAAAAUGCAUCAAAAAAGUUGAAAUUGAUGAUGAGAACAAAGUAUGGUGCAAGAAGAAAAAAGAGUUGAUGAUUAUAAAUCAAGAUGACAAAUUCUUUUUCAUUGUUAAAGCAACACAUUCUAAUUUGUUGUGAAAUUUCAAGAUAUCUUAAAUAAUCGGAGGAUAAGAUCAUAAAAAUUUUAAUUUCUUAAUUUCAUUUAAUAAUAUAAUACUUAUAAACUUAUUGUCAUUUACUUACAAGAAAAAUAAAAAAAUAGAGAGCUAUUAUUAGAAUAAUUUGAUUUUCAAAUCAAAAUAAAUAAUUUGAAUUAAUAAAUUCAUGAGACUUAAUUUGUGUAUUUCCGCAUCUUUUGUUUUAAUUACAUUUUUUUAGGUUUAUUAAGUAUUCGGGCGAUAUUGGAUAGUUUCGAAUGAUUGCCUUGUCAAUUAGAAUAGUUAAAUCUGUAAUUAUUCAAUUCAUUCUAAUACUUUGAUGAAUUGUAUAAUUAUUUAUGUUGUAGUUUAUGAUUAUGUGGUCUGGAUAUGUGAUGUAGCUUAAAUAAACUUCGUUCAAAUAAAUUUGUUCUAUUCAAGACUUUUCCAAAACAUACCAUGUCUUGGCCAUAUUGAGAUCGAUACAACAUAUACCAACUUUGGUUAUUUCUAAACAUGCAUCAAGUUGACCAUAUUAACCAUAACCAACAAGAUAUCAAUAGUAUCUUAAGUACCUCAAAUUCAAAGGCAACAUUUCAUGCUAUAAUUAGACAUAUAUAUAUAUACCAAACUCAUCAAUUAAACAUUAGACAUAAUCCACCUAUACAUGCCAUUAUAACCUUAACCAAGAUAUCAAAAUCUAUAGAUAUAAUCGUUGUAUAGUGUGAUAGAUCUCCGACGAACUUUCAACACGAUCGAGCUUCCGAUAAUCUGUAAAGUAAGUGAUAAACAAUUACAUAAGCAAUGAAUGCUUAGUAAGCUCGUAAAAACUUUAAACAUAAUAUUCCAAUUCAAUAAUAAACUUUAUCUGAUAAAGAUAAGCAUCUUAAUAACACUUUACAAUUUAGUCUUUUUCAAUUAAUUAACUAUCGAAACGUUAAAAUUUUUCAACGAAACUUUGAUACCAUCUUAAUGACACUCCGUAAAUAUUUAUAAAAAUAUUUACGGCUCGGUUUAUAGAAACGAGGUCCCAAUACCUCAUUUUUUAGAACCACUUGACCUUAAGGUCUUACCACUUGAACUUAAUUAAUCAUUCAAAUAGCAUAAAUUAUCAUAUCAAAAAUAUUUUUAAAAUUAUAUUUGACUCGUAAAUAUUAAAUAAUAACAUUUACGAACUUACUCGUCGGAUUUGGUUGACUCGUAAUUUAAUUAUUUAAAGUAUCAAAUUUAUUUAAAUGGGUUAAUUUUUUAUUAAAAUGAUCAUAUUUGAGAUCUAAGCUCGAAAAAAUGUGUCUUAAAAUAUGUUGCGGAACUAAAAGACAACUUUUCAUUCAGUGAGAGACAAUUCAACCUAAGAAUCCCGGGAUCCCAUCCGAAAAUGAGUUGUAAGAUAGCUGAGUUCUAAGCUUGAAAAAUGACAAUAUUGCUAAAUUUAAUCUAAUAGAGUCCAUCCCAUGUAUCAAUUCUAUUUAGUGUUACUGUUUCUUGCCUGCAGUCUUAUGUUUUGUGUAUUUAUCCUGGAUUUCUGUUUUGCCUUUGUUUUCACCACUUGCCCAUGUCGUGGUCCUUUGCGUCUUGUAUACACUGUUUUUAUUUGCUUUUUAUAAAUUUCUCACUUUCUCUUUAAAAAAAACAACUUAUAAUUACAAUGUGCCACAUUACUAAUAGUCCAAGCACUUGAAUUGAGGGUCUUAUUGAUGCGUUUAAAAUAUUGGAGUUCUUUUAAUCAUUCUUCUGAUAGACUGCUUUCAAGAUCCAUGAUUUUGUUCUUUUCUGUAAGCUUAUAUCUAUUCAUAUCCAAGAAGAUCUAAUGCCAGUCCACAAACCAGAAUCAAUAUUGCAAGUGGUGAUUUCCAAUUUAUAUUACAAAAUUUCAACUAAUAAAUUAACAAUCCGAUAAAAUAUGAAGAAACGAAUCACCUGGCUAGGAUUUGAAAGAGGCUAUUCUUCAUUGUUCCCAGUCUAUAAAUACUACAUCAUCUGGCCUACAUCUCCACAGCUCAAAAACCUGUUUGAUCAUUUCUGAAAUCAGUAGAAAGUCAUGGGUGUUUUCACUUACGAAUCUCAGGUUGUUACAGCCAUACCACCUGCCAAGAUGUUCAAGGCUUGCGUUCUUGAUGGUGACAAUCUCAUUCCCAAGAUUCUUCCUCAGGCUUUUAAGAGCAUUGAGUACAUUGAAGGCAAUGGUGAGCCUGGUAGCAUCAAGAAGGUCACCUUUGGAGAAGGUCAGCUCAUUUAUAUAACUUUAUACUUUGAAUCAUAUACAUAUAUGUACCUUAAUUUUGAAGGGAGAAGGGUGAACAUUAUGUGUUUUUCUUCAUGCAGGAAGCCAGUUCAAAUACAUGAAGCAGAAGGUUGAAGCAGUAGACAAAGAAAAUUUUGUAUAUAUUUACAGUGUGAUCGAAGGUGAUGCGUUGAUGAACAAGCUUGAGAAAAUCACUUACGAGACGAAAUUGGAGGCCUCUCCGGAUGGGGGAUCUCUAUGCAAGACUAGUAGCAAGUAUUACACCGUUGGUGAGUUUGAGCUCAAGGAAGAGGGAAUCAAGGCAGGCAAAGAAAAGGCAUUGGGAAUGUUCAAGGCCAUUGAAGCCUACCUCCUGGCAAAUCCUGAUGCUUACUAAGAUAGCAUUAUCCACUUCAAUGAAUAUCACGUACGCUAUUGGCCAUUUUUCUCUUCUAGUUUUUAGUUUUGAAUUUGGUGGUUCGUAUGAACUUCAGAUUGCUAAUAAAGAGUCAAUAGUUUACUCUGAUUACCAGGAAGCUUGAGCUGAAAUGGGUGAAGCCUGUAAUAAAUAAAUAAAUAAGUAAAUAAAAAUCAUACAAUUUAUUUACUGAAUCUAUCAAGAUUUAUAUUAUCCGCAACGUGUUGAAUUUAGAUUUUCAUUUGAUUCUGGUUUUACUAUAUUUUAUUCCCCAAGUGAAAUCAAUAAUCAAGCUUACCAUUAAAGAACAAUUUGUGAAACUCGAAAGCAACAUGCCUGGAACCUUACAACAAGAGCCGAAAAUUUCUUUAAUCAUAGCUGUUUUAUUGAUCAUAAUCGUCCAUUAACUUUGCACCUUGCAGAAAUAAUUACAAAUAUUGGAACUGGAAUUGGGUGGAGUGCGCCAGGCCCGAGCUAUAGUGCAAAGCCUGGGCGACGCCCGAGAGCCCCAGUAGCAAGCUAUUGUGAUGGACUCUUCCCCCUCAAAAAUAAAUUUAAUAUCAUGUGAGCCAAUGGCCCACGUAUCAGAUAUUAAACUGAUAAGAACAGAUACUACACUUGAUCUUAGCCAAAAGGCCGAGAAAGGUAUGCCCAUCUCUGUCAAGCAUCGCGCUAUUUAAAACCUGCUUCUCGCCUCUUCUUGCGUACGCUCCUUGAUGUGGGAUCUUAUGCGAAGGAGCAAGGCACCAUCCCAGCAAAGAUUUAGUUUCCGUAGUUGCAUCAGACAAACAAAUUUAACAUUGAAAGAAGCAUGCUUAAGCUAAUUAAUUCAACAAUAAAACCACUUUUCUAACGAUCAAAACUUUGAAAAACAAAAGCUACAUUUGCAAUUUGUAAAUCACGCCAGGAAUGGAUUUUGGCUUUGCUCAAAGAAGCAGCAAUUGGAUUUUAGAAUACAGAUUAUCUUGUUUCAAGACUUUUUAUUUGGAACAAAAUGGAAAUUUCUCUGGAAUCCGGUGGUGAUGGGAAUCAUCUGGAAGUAGAUGAUGGUGAAGGUUCUCAAGAAGAUGUGGAUAGAAAUACUAAGAAGGAAGAGACCAACGGUGAGGCGAACACAGAAAUGACGGUUGACCCAAGGCCGACCCCAAAUCUAUCAUGGAAGGACAAACUAAUGGGGAUUGGAACCGGUAAUAUUGCUAAAACGGCGAUGACAAAUUCUGGCAUGGGGGAUGAUGAUGAUCUUGAAUUCCUCGAAGGAGAUAUUAACAGAUCUACUAUCAAUGGAUUCCUGCAAUAGAUUUUUCUGAUAGGAUUCCAUGAAUCUUUUAAGGAAAUGGAAACUACGGUGGUUCUGAAACUGCUAGGUAGGAACAUCGACUAUGGGGCUUUAAACAAUCGGAUCAGUAGCCUUUGGAGACCCUCUAAACCCUUUCAUCGUAUGGAUAUAGAAAACAUAUAUUACUUGUCAAAGUUUCAGUGCACGAAUGAUUUUGAGAAAGUUUUAUUGCAAGGCCCUUGAAUAAUCUAUGGGCAAUACUUGACUGUCCAUCCUUGGACCAGAGAGUUUAAUCCGUUACAACAUAUCCAAGCAUGGUGAUGGCUUGGAUAUGUCUACCAAGACUCAGGUUUUUCAUAUCGGUUCAAUUAGUUUGUACUAGUUCGUGGGUCAACUAAUUUUUUACUACUCAACAGACCAAUACCCCAACCAAUUCUUGAUCCAACCAAUCUAAUUUGGUUUUGAUAAUAUUGAGUUUUAAAUUUUUUUUUAUAUAUUUUAAAAAUAUUUUCAAAAAAAUAUUUUUAUUUUGAAUUUUAAAAAGUUUUUAUUUUUAUUAUUUUUAAAUUAUAAUUUUUUGUUUAAAAUAUGACAAAAGUAUUUUUUAAUUUUUUUAUGUACAUCUAGGGUAAUCAAACAAUUUAACAAACCAAAUAAUUUUUAAAAAAGUAAUUUUGAAAAUAAUUUUAAAAAUUUUGUUAAGGAUGGCUUGAAUUUAACAAGCCAUGAAUCCUAGCAAAUGUCAAAAUUGGUGGCUAAUAAAUCUGCUCAUGGGUUGAGUCAUCUGUCCAAGAUAGAAGGUUCGUCUAAAAAAUGGGUGAGUUUUGGACAAAAUACGAGGACCGUAAAAUGAGUUCUGGUAAAAUUUAAGGCUCGUUUUCUAUAUGGGUUGGGCAUUGGACAAGUCUUUUUGACCCAAGCCUGGCCCGAAUAUAUAUUAUGUUAUAAAAAAUAUUAUAUUAAUUAUAAAUGUUAAAUAAUAAUUAUUUAUAUUUAUAUUUAUAUUAAAUCACUAACAAAAUAACAAUUAAACUCCCUACCCAAACCUAAAAAAAACUAACUAAAUAACCCAACACAAAAUAUAAAAUUUUAAAAAUUAUAUUUAAUACAAUAAAAUAUUUAUUAUAUUUAUUUGUUUUUUUUAAUAUAAUAAAAAAUAUUAUAUUUAUGGUAGUGUUUUUUAAUAUAAAUACUUUUAAUAUAUUUUUAAUGUGUUAGAAAACUUCUAUUUUAGCUUUUUUUCAAUACACUUAGUGUAUUAUAUUUUAAAAAAAAUUAUUUUAAAAUAAAAACUAAUCUAAAAAAAUCAAAUAUGAGAGAGCUGGAUUGGAACCGAGUUUACCUUUCUUAAAUUGGGUUGAAUUUGGACAAAAAAAUAAGCGCACUUUUAAGUUGAACUGGACAAAAACUUGAAAAAUUGGUCUAGAUACUAUAUAUGAACCGACCCAUGAUGCACCAAUUUUUAUCGUGGCAACAAUUUUUAUUACCAUCUUCCAAUUGCCAAACCGUAUUAAAUGUGGCUAUUAAAAAUUAUUAUUACCGUCUUCCAAUUGUCAAGCUUUAUUAAAUGUAGCUAUUAACUUGAAUCUCAUGCAAACUAAUAUAAAUACGGCUUAAUUCUAAGCCACGAGACACUAUUUUUUACGAUUUUUCUGUGAUGGAAUCUUAUCCAAUGAAGAAAGGAAAAUAUGAGUGUGAGUAUAUAAAUAGCAUAUUAGUUUCUCAUAUCUUCCCACACCUCAUACCCAUAAAGUAUCAGUUAAUAAAUAUUUGCGUUUAAUCAAAUUGUUUGUAUAAUUGGAAGAGAAAAAUGGGUGUUUUUGCAAAAGAAGCAGAGGUUAGUACCCCACUCCCACCUGCCAAGGUGUUUAAGGCCUUUGUUGUUGAUCUGGACACCCUAAUGCCCAAGGUUGCCCCACAAGCAAUCAAUAGUGUGGAGCUCCUUCAAAGAGAUGGUGGCCCUGGAACUAUCAAGAAGAUCACCUUUGCCGAAGGUAAUUUAAUUACUUAAAGGGUAAACUACUACAAAUUGAGAUGUAGUUAUAUUAGUUAUCUUCAUAUACCUACGUGCAAGUCUGAUUUGGUUGAUAUCAAAUGCAGGGUAUUGAUUCACAUAUGCGAAACACAGAGUCGAUGUAUUAGACAAAGACAACUUGUUAUACACUUACGUUGUGAUCGAAAGCGAUUUUUUUAAUAACGUGGUGGAGAAAAUCAGCUACGAGACCAAGUUUGUAGCAGUAGCAGAUGGAGGAACAAGUAUUAAGGUAACUACCACCUUUUACACCAUUGGUGACAUUUAGAUCUCUCCAGACCUAAUGCUCCAAAUCAAGGAAGCAUCCGAGAAGCGAGCCCUUGUUUUGAAAGCUAUUGAAAAUU
rnacentral:lncRNA from 1 species